rnacentral:rRNA from 1 species
AUUGAACGCUGGCGGCAUGCCUUACACAUGCAAGUCGAACGCGAAAGCGGGGCAACCCGCAAGUAGAGUGGCGAACGGGUGAGUAAUACAUCGGAACAUAUCCAGUAGCGGGGGAUAACCUGUCGAAAGAUAGGCUAAUACCGCAUACGACCUACGGGUGAAAGCGGAGGACCGCCAGGCUUCGCACUAUUGGAGUGGCUGAUGUCGGAUUAGCUAGUUGGCGGGGUAACGGCCCACCAAGGCGACGAUCCGUAGCUGGUCUGAGAGGACGACCAGCCACACUGGAACUGAGACACGGUCCAGACUCCUACGGGAGGCAGCAGUGGGGAAUUUUGGACAAUGGGCGCAAGCCUGAUCCAGCCAUGCCGCGUGAGUGAAGAAGGCCUUCGGGUUGUAAAGCUCUUUCGGCGGGGACGAAAUGGUUCGUGCUAAUACCACGGAUUGAUGACGGUACCCGAAGAAGAAGCACCGGCUAACUACGUGCCAGCAGCCGCCGCAGUAA